AUUAUCUACGUGCUGCUUGUCGAUCCAGAGAGACGCUGCAACAAGUAUUUGAGGAGAAUGUUAAUCUUAAUGUUGUUCCAUCUAAGGAUUCGUCUUCCUCCUCACUGUCUGUUCAAAUGGCAUGGAUUAUGGAGCUAUUAGAGAGUAAUUUAGAGAUGAAAUCUAAGAUUUACGGGGACUCUGCUUUAUGCUCUGUUUUCAUGAUUAAUAAUGGAAGGUAUAUUGUACAAAAGGUCAAGGAUAGCGAAUUGGGUUCUCUUCUCGGUGAUGAUUGGAUCAGGAAACACGCAGCAAAACUCAAGCAAUUUCAUAUGAGUUACCAGCGAAGCUCAUGGAAUAAGGUUUUGGGAAUGUUGAAAGCAGAUAAUGGCU
rnacentral:misc_RNA from 1 species